UUUCAAUCAGACUCACUACUACUGCUUGAGGAGUCCGUUGACAUAAUCUCUACAUCAUCUUCAUUUUCUUUAUUAUGCCCAGGAGGUUCCAACAAAAAGUCACUACUAUGAUUUGGUGGUAACAUAUUCAUCGACAUGUCAUUUGACUGCCAUGGAUACUGUGGAGCAAGGACAUCUGGAGAAAAAAAGAAGCAUAGAUAAGAACAGCUCUAUCUGGUCUCAUUCUGUCACCCAGGCUUGAGUGCAGUGGCACGAAUACAUCACUGAAGCCCUGACCUAGGCUCAAGCAAUCCUCCUGCCUCAGCCUCCUGAGUAACUGGGUUACAGAUAUUCCAACCUUGUCAUCUCUGGAAAACCCUGAUCUGUUUGAAAACACUCUUCGGCUUAACAUUACCUGGCAAUCUUCCUGCUGCAAGUGCAUCUCCUGGUAAAUGGCCAUUCACGCCAUUAGUGGAAGGAUUGUUCAUCUGACCCAGUAACCCACUUCUCAUCUCUAAAUCAGUUGGGUAGGGUCUCCGGGGGUCCCCUAAAACAAUAAAGACUG
rnacentral:lncRNA from 1 species